rnacentral:rRNA from 1 species
GACGAACGCUGGCGGCGUGCUUAACACAUGCAAGUCGAACGGAAAGGCCCCAGCUUGCUGGGGUACUCGAGUGGCGAACGGGUGAGUAACACGUGGGUGAUCUGCCCUGCACUCUGGGAUAAGCCUGGGAAACUGGGUCUAAUACCGGAUAGGACCGUGCUUUAGUGUGUGCGGUGGAAAGUUUUUCGGUGCAGGAUGAGCCCGCGGCCUAUCAGCUUGUUGGUGGGGUAAUGGCCUACCAAGGCGGCGACGGGUAGCCGGCCUGAGAGGGUGUACGGCCACAUUGGGACUGAGACACGGCCCAGAGUCCUACGUGAGGCAGCAGUGGGGAAUAUUGCACAAUGGGGGCAAGCCUGAUGCAGCGACGCCGCGUGGGGGAUGACGGCCUUCGGGUUGUAAACCCCAUUAGGCAGGGACGAAGCUUUUGUGACGGUACCUGCAGAAGAAGCACCGGCUAACUACGUG